rnacentral:rRNA from 1 species
UACAGAGGGUGCAAGCGUUAUUCGGAAUUACUGGGCGUAAAGCGCACGUAGGUGGCUGGGUAAGUCGGAUGUGAAAUCCCCGGGCUUAACUUGGGAAUUGCAUUCAAGACUGCCUUGCUAGAGUGUGGAAGAGGGAAGCGGAAUUCCAGGUGUAGCGGUGAAAUGCGUAGAUAUCUGGAGGAACAUCAGUGGCGAAGGCGGCUUCCUGGUCCAACACUGACACUGAGGUGCGAAAGCGUGGGGUGCAAACAGG